AGACAACAAAAUGUUUGAUAUUAUUUUGUCACCUUAGGUCGAUCGGUAUCUCACGUUCUUAAUUUAUUAAGAAUUUCAUUUCCUAAGUUUUUCUAGGUCACACCCAUUAUUUUUCCUGGGCCAUUAGCUCAGGUGGUUAGAGCGCACCCCUGAUAAGGGUGAGGUCCCUGGUUCAAGUCCAGGAUGGCCCAUAUCUCUAUGUUGGGGGUAUAGCUCAGUUGGUAGAGCGCCUGCUUUGCAAGCAGGAUGUCAGCGGUUCGAGUCCGCUUACCUCCACUGAUUACCACCUCUUCCAUAAAUCAGGAGAAAGGAAAUUUUUUGAGUUGUGAUCAAAUUCUGAACGAAUCUAGCUUCCUAAUGAAACUAUUAAGAUGCUGGACUCAUUGAAUUAAUUUCAUUGUUUUCAGAGAACCUUGACAACUGCAUAGAUUAUUUUUAAAGACAAUAAGCAUCUUUAAUGAUGCAGAUUUAUUAUUUGUGCGAAUGCAUUAAUAACAAUUCUAUUAAGCUGAUGCUUCAAUUUUGAAGUUAUU
rnacentral:tRNA from 1 species